CCUACGAGUGGCAGCAGUGAGGAAUAUUGGUCAAUGGGAGAGAUCCUGAACCAGCCAAGCCGCGUGAGGGAAGACGGCCCUAUGGGUUGUAAACCUCUUUUGUCGGGGAACAAAACCCGGGACGUGUCCCGGACUGCGUGUAUCCGAAGAAAAAGCAUCGGCUAACGCCGUGCCAGCAGCCGCGGUAAUAGGGGGGAUGCGAGCGUUAUCGGGAUUUGUUGGGUUUAAAGGGUGCGUAGGCGGUCCGUUAAGUCAGCGGGAAAAUUGCGGGGCUAAACCCCGGCGAGCCGUUGAAACUGGUAGACUUGAGUUGGCGAGAGGUACGCGGAAUGCGCGGUGUAGCGGUGAAAUGCGUAGAUAUCGCGCAGAACUCCGAUUGCGAAGGCAGCGUACCGGCGCCAGACUGACGCUGAGGCACGAAAGCGUGGGGAGCGAACAGGAUUAGAUACCCCUGUAGUC
rnacentral:rRNA from 1 species